AUUGAACGCUGGCGGCAGGCUUAACACAUGCAAGUCGAGCGGGGUGAUGGUGCUUGCACUAUCACUUAGCGGCGGACGGGUGAGUAAUGCUUAGGAAUCUGCCUAUUAGUGGGGGACAACAUCUCGAAAGGGAUGCUAAUACCGCAUACGUCCUACGGGGGAAAGCAGGGGAUCACUUGUGACCUUGCGCUAAUAGAUGAGCCUAAGUCGGAUUAGCUAGUUGGUGGGGUAAAGGCCUACCAAGGCGACGAUCUGUAGCGGGUCUGAGAGGAUGAUCCGCCACACUGGGACUGAGACACGGCCCAGACUCCUACGGGAGGCAGCAGUGGGGAAUAUUGGACAAUGGGGGGAACCCUGAUCCAGCCAUGCCGCGUGUGUGAAGAAGGCCUUAUGGUUGUAAAGCACUUUAAGCGAGGAGGAGGCUCUUUAGUUAAUACCUGGAGAUAGUGGACGUUACUCGCAGAAUAAGCACCGGCUAACUCUGUGCCAGCCGCCGCCGUAA
rnacentral:rRNA from 1 species